CAUAUUUCUAAGCUAUUUACGUGUUCAUAUUCGCGUAAUUAAUUUUGUAUUUCGGUGAAUGAACUUCAGAUAAAACCUGAUUAGUAAAAAGUUGUCCUGUUAUGCAAAUUCUUCUGUUGUUGAAAGCCCUUUGCAAGAUCACGUGACAUAACCCGGAGUAUCUGACGUCACACUUAAGUCAGGGGACCAGCCCUUAGAUCGCGUAGCUAGAUACGGGAUCUAGGACCAGUCUACAUGAAGUAGUAUACGUCACCAGCAGACCGCCAUUUUUAAAGACAAAUGGAUGGCGUCACUAUGUCGAGUGUCUUCUCCGAUAAAAUUCAGCUUUUACCGACUUCCAAAGACAUAACUACACCCGGAAAAGUGUUAUGGCUAGAUACAGUAAUGCCAUUGCUAGAUGAAGUCUACCUCCCCAAAAGUAAAUGCAUCCUUCCCAGUGUCAAGGUACAACGAUGUAUUCUCCUGCAAAAGGUUAGAUACAGGCAUGUCGUCAGAUGAAGUCUACCUCCCCAAGAUGUCAAGGUACAACGAUGUCUUCUCCAGCAAGGAUGACUACUCCAGCAAUGAGGUCAUCUCCAGCAACGAGGUCUUCUCCAGCAACGAGGUCUUCUCCAGCAACGAGGUCAUCUCCAGCAAAAGGCUAGAUAAAGACAUGCCGUUGUCAGAUGAAGUCUAGCUCCUCAAAAGUAUAUGCAUCCUGCCCAGUGUCAAGGUACAAUGAUGUCUUCUCCAGCAACAAUGUUUUCUCCAACAAAAGGUUUGAUACAGACAUGCCAUUUUCAGAUGAAUCUACCUCUCCAAAAGAAAAUGCAUCCUGCCCGGUGUCAAGGUACAAUGGUGUCUUCUAAAGCAAAAGGUAUCUUAUCUGUAACAAAAAGUGUAUCCUGGAGAGAGAUCUGCCGGUGCCUAACAUUGGCCCAAUGUCUACACAUUAACAACGUAGAUGUGUGAAGCUAAAAACAGCAUGAGAAAGCUGAUAUGCUGCAACCAAGUGUGUAGCAAAUAACUCUCACUACAAUCGAGAAGGCUUCAGAGUUUGAGGGAAACAACUCUUCAAGGUAUUCUGCUCAUCUAGGAUUAUUGAUUAACAACCAACCAACUUGUUGAUUCAAUUUGUAGAGUUGUAGAAAUGUUAAAGGCACUGGACACUAUUGAUAUUUGCUCUUAUUAAAAUGGUAUUAAAACUUACCUGGUAAUGAGCAACUAUGAGAAGCUAUUGAUAAGAUAAAAAAGGGUGAAAAAUGGCUCCAUUUGGAGUGAUGUAGUUUUUGAAAAGAGGUAAUUUUUCACUCAAAUAAUAAGACUUCAGGCCUGAGGUUCCUUAUAGGAAUCUGAAAUAGUACAAAAUGUGGACCAAGGUUUUUUUCUUCCAUUUAUCUCUUGCAACAAUGAUGACCAAUUGAGUAAAGAAAUUCACAGGCUAGGUAUUUUAUGCUUGUUGAGAGUGAGAAUACUGGUCUUUGACAAUUACCAAAUGUGUCCAGUGCCUUUAAUUAAUGAUGUAAACACUGAUGCAAUCUUACUUCUUUAUAGAAAACAUUAUUGUAAAAAGUAAGUGCACCAUUUUCAAGCAAGAGCAUAAUGUGUUUUUUAUCUCAUUAAAUGGUUGGACUGAAGUAAAAGCAGUGAUGGUGCAAUGGUACAAUUAGUGGCUAUGUGAUGGUUCAGUAAAGAGUAGUUCAAGGGUUUGAUAAAAAGCUCUUGUGAUGGCCCUGUAUAAGAUCAAAUUCGCCAGAUUCAAUUGCUUGCAAGGUGCACUUAUUUUAGAAUUCCGAAACUUAAUUAUCAAGUAAAAACAAACAUUGGUGUAAAUUUUAAUCUGAUUUUGGAUUUCCAUUUUACUCUGAACAAGUCUUUUAAAAAAAUCUCCCAAAACAUACACUACAUGUACUUGAAGGACGAGCCCUUUGCUCAAUAAAAUGUUCCUUCUACUUUCUCAAAGGCAAAUAGACUUUAAUAUAGGUACUCAUAAUUGCAUUUAAUGACAUUGAAAUUAUGAGCUAUGAUGGUAUAUUUACAAAAGGAAUGGAAUAUAAUUUUUAAAUCCAAAGCUUUGUUUUGUACAUAAUAAUGUAUUUCAAAACUUGGUCUUAUUUGACCAAAUUUUGGGGUAAAACAGUGAGACUUUGGUAUUUACCUUGAUAUUAACACUUUUCACAGUAGUUCUUGUUCAUCCAAAUAUAGAAAUAUACUAAAAUAUUGGUUUCUUGUCUCAAUUAUAUACAGUUUCAUGGUGGUCACACAUUUAUGACUGAGCACAGAUUGUCUGAAAACAGACAUCUUUGCUUUAAAAGCUUGACAUGAAAACCUAACUUGCUGACAAGUUUGCAGGUUGAGUUGAAUGAAUUUACUUUUCCAAAAAGCCAUAGUUUAUUUCCUGAUGAUGUCUUCAUUAAAACAAUGCAUUCGCUUAAAAAUAGUAAUUAAGAACGAUAUCUGUCUAAAAGUUUGGGCUGUCUAAAUGUAAUUUCCUCAAACUGGAACAAGUGAAAAAUGCACAAAAUAUAUGUCUUAAAACGUUACUCAAGUUUGGGGUUUACUUUUUAAAGGUGCCAAACAAAUAGUGAAGUAUCCCCAACAAAGUGGUGUAAAUUUCUUUUUAUAAGUUAGACAACUGAUAUUAAUUUAAGAUAAAACUAAACAAAUAAGUGUAGAAAUUAUCACUCUCAAAAGAUUAAAAGUUGUUUUGUGUUUUUGCUACAGUGAAAUUAAUAGUGGAUAAUUAAAAUGUUUGUAUCUUAUUAAUUGGAGUUGUC